CUUCGGUGGGCUUUGGAUUUAUUAGCGACUAUUUUACCUGCCAGUUGAAGCCCUGCACACCGAUUUUGUAGAUUAAGAUCUAUCCUUUGUAGUGUUUGCAGCAUGUUGAGCCACUUGCCUGACUUCACCCGACUCCUUGGGCCGCAGCUACAGCAGGCGGACACACAACAACAGACAAUCCAGUCACCAAUAAACUCUGUAUGUUUUUGGAAUACUGGAGGAAGUGACCAGAGGAAACACAAGUACACGGAGAACAUACAGGCUACGUUCACGCUAGAAACAAGGCUUCUCCCUUCAGGGUUGGCCACAGUGGAUCAUCUUCCUCCAUCUCACCCUGUCCUCUGCUUCCUCUUCUCUCAAACCUACAAACCUCAUGUCCUCCUUCACCACCUCCAUCAAUCUCCUCUUUGGCCUCCCU